ACCAGAUGUAGCCGUUACGGUCUACCCUGCCGCAAGACAUGGUAGCUAAGAGAGAAGUCCGGUGAGCUGCAAAUCGUUGCAGCGAUUCCGGCGCUGCCCCCGCAACUGUAAGCGGUAAGCCUUUGUCCAUCGAUGCCACUGGAGCGGAAGCUCUGGGAAGGCGGACAUCGGCGUCGACCCGCAAGCCAGAAGAACUGCCGUCACACAAAAACGUCC
rnacentral:ncRNA from 2 species